rnacentral:rRNA from 1 species
GCAAGUCGAACGGCAGCACAGGAGAGCUUGCUCUCUGGGUGGCGAGUGGCGGACGGGUGAGGAAUACAUCGGAAUCUACUCUGUCGUGGGGGAUAACGUAGGGAAACUUACGCUAAUACCGCAUACGACCUACGGGUGAAAGCAGGGGAUCUUCGGACCUUGCGCGAUUGAAGGAGACGAUGUCGGAUUAGCGAGUGGGCGGGGUAAAGGCCCACCAAGGCGACGAUCCGUAGCUGGUCUGAGAGGAUGAGC